UGCUGACUGGGCUGUUAUAGAUGUUGUGAAUUAUUUCAGGACAGCUGGAUUUGAAGAACAAGCCAGUGCUUUUCAAGAACAGGAUCUCACAGGCUCUCCAGGUAUGGCAGUCACAAGGUGUGCAGCUGAAACUGUGGCCGUCUCUGGUUUUAAAUGCCAUUUGUUCUGCAGCUUGUCUGGGUCUCAGAAUCUGAAAUUUGUUUGAUCUGCUACUGCCAUGGAUAUAUACUGGAAGGGGAACGAGGCUGUAAGUGGUGAAGGGAAGUAUCCCAGUUCACCUACAACACUGAGAAAUUGUUUUCCACUGAACUGUUUUAGAAGGGUUAGCACAACCAUUUUCUUGCAAGACAUCCAUAGUUCAAAAUGUAAUCUCAAGAAAUAUUAAUAUGUUCAGCUUCUACGUAACAGUAAGUCCACACUUCUAAUGAAUCUAAAUCUGGACUCACAUGACGCAAGUGACUCAAAGGAUUUUGUAAGAUGUGAUUUUUUUUUUUCUUAUACUUUUAAAGGAAAACGAAAAAAACAUUUUAAGGACUACAGAAUGUUUUUAGUAACUGUAUUGUAAGUGCUGGUCGGGCAUGAUGAGUAUAUGAUGGUUAUACAUUAUUCUUUCUUGGAGUUUCAUUGAUGUCAGCAAGCUGUAAGAGCUCUCUGAAAAGAUUCAACUGGAAGAUGUUGCCCAAUAUCCAAAACAAUAACAUCAAGCACAUUUUUCCAGGCAAGCCAAGAAGUUGGGCACAGAGGAUCACUGAAGAGAGUGGCAGACCAGAUGUGGGUGAGAGUGUGAACGUCUUCAAAGAACUGUUAUCUGCAAGUACAUGGCUGAUAUUUCUCUAGGAGCCUUGGGAGCACAGGGGGCUUUGGCUUGCUCGAAGAUGGAUUCCUUGUGACGUGUCCUGAGAUGUGGUAGUGCAAUGCUUGACCCUUCACUACUGCCACACAACUUCUUACCAUUAGUACUGUGUUAUGCAGCUCAGCCUAAGGAAUCCAAUGAUAGUUUGCUGGCCCUUGCUGCAGUGCCUUACCAGAAGGGAAACAGGUUUGAUAUUAGCUGGUAUCUGCUGCCGUCUUCUAGCAGAUCCACGGCAUGGAGGAGCAUGUGAGCAUGCUGGCUGGUAUACUUUCUUGUCAGCUGUGAUGUAGAACACUGCAGUUCUCAGUCACUUGGAGAAAGAGCAGACUUGAUUCUUGACUGGUCGUGUGGGGAUUUGCUGAAGACGAUAAAUUGACUAUUGCAGCUGAGGAAUUACUGUUAGCUCUAGAUGUGCAGAGGGAUGCCUCUCUAGAUGGCACUAAAAGGGCAUGACAAAAGCUGGCAUUGAAGUUGCACCCUGAAAAAUAUCCUGAAAAUAGUGGAGUAGCAGAGAAGAACUUCACAGAAGUCUCCAAAGUCUUACCUGAUGCCAAAAAGUGAAAUGACAAUGGCAAAUCUAUGGAAGCAGUUUUAAGGGGAAAGAAAACAAAAAGAGGUGGAAGUAAACCAUAAAAUAGACAUAGAGAUGUAACACACUGGAAUUUUAAUACAUAUCUACUCAUUCCUACCCAGGUAUGCUUAGAGGAUCAGUCUUCUAUUCAAUUAAAUCCUUAGGUGGUCUACUUCCCAGCAUUUCUUAAAUCCAUGGGGAAUCCUGUGGAAGAAGAAGGAAAAGGAAAUAAAUUCUCUCUACCUAUUCAUGGAGUUUCUCCUGUUCCAGGUACUGGAUUUUCUUCAUCUGGAUCCCUCCAAGCUGGAGGUUGUUCUUACUCCAUAACGUCAUCGAACAGCAGUGGAAAAGGCAACUUCAGAUCAGUCGUAUCAAUGAGCAAAAUACUCAGUGGUGUCAGAAUUUCCACAAAAAGAAUUGUGACAAAUGGAAACAAGAAAAUAUCAACUGUUUUUAACUAUUAACAUUCUCAACAGAAAUUGGAAGGAGGUACCUGUUAUAAUUGGGUAAAAAGUUAUUGGAAAUGUGAUUUUUUUUCAGAAAUACUGUUACACUGUGCUCUUCUGGAGGGAUUAGCAGUUAUAUCUCUUGGUAAGGUUUUAAAGAAAUUCCACUUUCAGCGGAUAUUUGGUUAUAGUAUGCUUUUUCCAUCAAUCUUGUAUUUUUAAUCACAUAAUGGGAGAGAUCAGUUCGGACAAGUUACUAUAGAACUCUAAUGUUCCUUCUUUGUCAUUAUUUCAUGUUAAAUUGUAACAAAAAUAUGAUCAGUAACAUCUCCAAAACAAUAUUUAAUAUUUGUAAGAAAGAUACUGCAGUGGAACUGUUCUGUGUGUGGUAUUUAUCUAUGGUAUUUAUAAAAACACAAAAUCGUGGUAAUAUAGAGUGAUGGACAACAAUAAUAUAUGCAGGCAUUUGAACUUGUUGGCUAUUGAUGCCAAAUUAAAAUUUAUUUUUUAAUUAAAAGUAGAAAAGAAUGCAGCAAAGUAAAGCCAGUGCAAGAGAACAUCCUAUGUUAAAGACUUUGGGCUGUGAUGACUUGUGAGACACCAGUCGAUGCACUGCUCUGUGGAUGUAGCUUGUUUCUUGGGUAGCGCAGUGAUAGAACUGUGAUGGUGCAAAUAAAAGAAUGGUCGUGUGUCUGAAACUGAGGUGGGAGUUGUGAGAUGGGGAUUCUUUCUCCUUUUUGAUGCAUGGAGAAUCAUUUACAGUUAAUUUGCAAACAUAUGACAAGGUUAUCAGAUGGGGGAGAAAAAAAAAGUCUGCAGGAUUUCUAAUCUAAAUAGGUCAGAAAGCAAAGAUUUGAGGAGACAAAAAAAAAAAAAAAAAAAAAAAAGAGAGAGAGAGAAAAGAAUGAAAACCCUAUGAUUUAAAAGUGGAAUGUAGCCAUUGUGGAGAUUCAGCCUGGGAAGUUGCUGCCUUCUCCACUGUAGUUGAAGGAAUUUCCUUUGGAGUGCUGAGCUCUGCGGCUGGAUCCUUGUAGAAGUUCUGAUUGCAGGAGACUCCUUUUCUCUGCAGGAUGUGUGGGAAGUCGGCCGUUUAAAGCAGUCACCUGAAGUUAUUAGCAGGUGCUGACUAGUCCAAACUUGUACACUGCUGUCAAUGGUAAUUUUGAAACACAUUUCACUGCCUUCUCCCUAAGUGUGUCCUUUGCUUAAUGGCUGUUAGUUAGGCAAGCUGUACGUGUGCCUAUUAAUUUCAAACAGAUGUACAAGGAGGGAAUUUUGAAAUGAGACUGAUUUGGGUUUUCUGCUUGACUAAAUAGUAUUUAUGCAUUAGUCAGCACAGUUGAGCACUUGAAAAACCAAACAGCAGAUGUUAGCAGCUACAAACAAUUAUUUCAGAAAAAUAAAAGGCUACUAUUUCUUUUCUCACUGAUCCUCUGUAGUAGUCUUCCAUUUGUUGCAUGAUUGUUCUCAGCUAUUAGAUCUGUACGUUUUCUUUAUCAAUUCUUUAAUUCUUCUUAUAGGAAAUUGAUGGCAAAUCAUUACUGUUGAUGACAAGAAAUGAUGUACUGACUGGACUUUCAUUAAAACUGGGGCCUGCGCUGAAAAUCUAUGAA